CCCUCUUCUUUUCCUUCCCUCUCCCCCUUCUUCUCUCCCUUCCCCCGUCGCUCUCCUUCUUCUUCUCCUUCCCGCUCCCCUUCGCGUCUCUUCCCUCCCUUUUCCUCUUCCCCUCUUUUGUAGGUACCACGAGGCAACGCCGCCAGUGAAGGAAACAGCAGCACCGGCGAGGACCACCAUUACUGGCAGAAGCCCCCACCGGCGAGGAAGACACCGGCCAGCAGCUGCACGAGGUGGUGAACGACCAGCAGUAAGGCAGCAGAGGCAGCAACUUCAACCGGUAGUAGCACCUAAGACCACCAACAUCUCCAAACCAGUAAACAAGGAGAGCUCCGAAGGAGUUAUUGAAAGUUUCAAGAAGUUCAAAAGACGGAUCUUUAAUAGAUCCGUUCGGCUACAUCCCUUUUAAAGUCUCAAACUUGAAGUUCAAGUUAAAGAAGAGAGAUCAUUUGUCUAAUUCGUAUUUGAAUAUAUUCCUUAUGUAUUUAUUUUUUUUUUUUGUAAUAUUCGUAUAACAGUGAAGCUCUCAUAUAUGAUAUAAGAUUUGGGGGAUUGACUAUAAGGGGAGGGGGAUAUAUAUAUAUAUAUAUAUGCUAAUUGUUUUCUUUGCUUAUUAUGUUUUUUUACUAUGUGAUUGAUAUAAAUUUUCCGUCUAUUACUAAUGUAAUUAGAAUAGGCAACAUAUUGGAAUCACCCAAAUAAUCUAUUUAAAAUCAAUUAUUUGUUUGUCUUGUUUAA